UAGAGUUUGAUCAUGGCUCAGAACGUACGCUGGCGGCACGCCUAACACAUGCAAGUCGAACGCAGUAGCAAUACUGAGUGGCAGACGGGUGAGUAACAUGUGGGAAUCUGCCUUGUGGUUCAGGACAACAUUGGGAAACCGAUGCUAAUACUGGAUAAGCCCUUACGGGGAAAGUUUUAAUGCCAUAAGAUGAGCCCGCAUUUGAUUAGUUAGUUGGUGAGGUAAUGGCUCACCAAGACAAUGAUCAAUAGCUGAUCUGAGAGGAUGAUCAGCCACACUGGGACUGAGACACGGCCCAGACUCCUACGGGAGGCAGCAGUGGGGAAUCUUGCACAAUGGAGGAAACUCUGAUGCAGCGAUGCCGCGUGAGUGAAGAAGGCCUUUGGGUUGUAAAGCUCUUUUGUAGGGGAAGAUAAUGACUGUACCCUAAGAAUAAGGUCCGGCUAACUUCGUGCCAGCCGCCGCGGUAAUAC
rnacentral:rRNA from 1 species